AACGAACGCUGGCGGCAGGCCUAACACAUGCAAGUCGAACGAGAAGCCACCUUCGGGUGGUGGACAGUGGCAGACGGGUGAGUAACGCGUGGGAACGUGCCUUUCGGUUCGGAAUAACCCAGGGGAACUUGGGCUAAUACCGGAUACGCCCUUCGGGGGAAAGAUUCAUCGCCGAAAGAUCGGCCCGCGUCGGAUUAGCUAGUUGGUGGGGUAAUGGCUCACCAAGGCGACGAUCCGUAGCUGGUCUGAGAGGAUGACCAGCCACACUGGGACUGAGACACGGCCCAGACUCCUACGGGAGGCAGCAGUGGGGAAUAUUGGACAAUGGGCGAAAGCCUGAUCCAGCCAUGCCGCGUGGGUGAAGAAGGCCUUAGGGUUGUAAACCCCUUUCAGCGGGGAAGAUAAUGACGGUACCCGCAGAAGAAGUCCCGGCUAACUCCGUGCCAGCCGCCGCCGUAAAAC
rnacentral:rRNA from 1 species